GCGUUGAAACUGCCUUUUGGCAAAACAACAGUGAUGCAUUUGGUCGCCAGAGAGACAUUGCCAGAGCCAAACUCCCAAGGUCAGCGGAAUCGCGAGAAGACUGGCGAGAGUAACUGUUGUGUCAUCCUGUAAACCCACUGCCGAGCCGGGUGCAACGUAGUCUCUGUCUUUCCUGCUGCUGGCGCCCAGGAGACCCAGCGUUGCUUCAGAACCUUUAGGAAGAGUCUCCCUGUAAACUCAUGGACCUGAACUAUCACAUGAACACUGUCACCCUUUCUCGUGAAAGUAAAAAGAACCGAGAACAUUUUUCACUAUGAUUCUUUAUUUCUAGUAUUUUUGUUUAUGUUGAGCAGUUUUAAAAUGUAUCGGUUUUUGAAUGCAAAUCAAUCUCCAGGGGAAAAGUUAAAAAGUUAUCUUUCAUAGCAGAAACUGUUUGCUGCCACAAAAGUUUUUAUCACCAGAACUAACAAAUGUUGCACAUACAGUUUGCACUAAAAACAAGUGACGUCAUUUUCUUCCGCAGCAGAAAUUGUGACAUGGCUUAUGGUAUCUAGAAAUACGCACACACGCACAUCCACACUGGAGGACACUCAGCAAUUAAUGAAGUGAAUAACUGGGCCAACUUGACAGGAAAAAAUGGAAAAGAAACUAAAAUGUUGGGUGAAUUCUACCACAAGUCAGCCAUGCUGGCUGCCCUGGCACGGGAUCCUAAAGUGAGCGCAGCUGUCUUCACGGCAACAGGGGAAAAACAAAGUGUGCCUGGUGUUGCAAGUCCUCAGCAGAGGGCUGAUGAGCCUAACGGCCGUUCCUUUAACACGCGCACCCCAGGCUGGCGGUAAGGAGAGCUGUUCACGCAGCCCCCGGGGAGUGCGCGGCCUAGCCUUAAUGCAGGGGCGCGUCUGGCCGCUCGGAGACAUCUGUGAUUUGCGCAGAAGCGUUAGAAAACCUCGUUCAGCCAUCCAUCCCUUUUCUGUAUUUGCGUAUCAGCAAAUUGACUUUUUCCAUCAUGAGUGCUCAUCUCUGUGUCCACUGUCACACGUACUCAUUAGAGAGCUCAGAUGAAUUCUUAAAAUUAAAAAAUUUUCCGCAGGACUAAUUUUGUUUCUUUGUGUAGUUUGCAUUGGGUAUUUAGUGCUUGCAAUUGUGUUAAAAUCAGAAGCUGAUUUUUAAGGCAUACGUGAUUAGGGAUGCCAUUCUUUUGUUUUGUACCAAUAAUUUAAAAAUUGAUAUGCUAACAACAAUUUGCACAGCACUAAAGCAUGAGCUACGUUUCAUCUAAACCUGUAAAAAAUAUAAAAGAUUUUAUAUUUUUUUUCACUGGGAAGGAAUUCUUCCUGGAUGGAAUUAAAAAUAUGUGUAGAAUAUAUUUAAUAAAAAACUUAUGAAAUACCUAACUAUAGAACUUAAAUAUAGAUUGGCGUGUAGUAUAUAGGACAGUAUUCCAUAUAAAUAACUGUAGCCUUUAUACAAAUGAAGUUGCAGGCUGACAUGAUGUUCUGUACUGAAAAGUGUCCACGGCCCUUACAAAUAGCAGGUGUAAAAGGUUUCAGAUGGUCAGCUUUGUUUAAAGGUAACCAGGUUAUUUUAUUCAUUGUUAAUGCUUUGAUGAAAAGGCUUUAUAUGCAGUAGAUCUACGAAAAUACUGUUCAUACUGAUCAGAAUUAAAUUUGUAUAGAGCAGAGUUUUAAAAUGAAUGUAAAUAGCACUAAACAUUUUCUUUCUGCAACCUGUACUUAUAGAUUCUUUCUGUAAACUAAAUAAAACAAAAUAUUGUAGUGCAUUUUGGUGGUAAUUUUAAAGGUCUUGAUUAGGUUGAUAAUUGUUUAGGCACUGUCUCAUCCACGUUAAAAUUGUUCUGUUUUUAUUUCUGAAUCUUUAAAGAUGGUUUCAGAUAUUCUCUUGUUAGUUUUGGGAGGAGUCCCAAUGUGUCUUUGGUAUUUAGCCGGGUUAAUUUGUGCACAGUCAUGACAAUGAGUAGAACUGUGUAGUCUCUGUAAUCACUAAAAUGUUCUCUUCAGGAGGUGUUAAAUAUUUAUUUGCUUUGUUGACUAGCUCAAAUGUGAAUUCUCUUAGUGUUGACUGAAGAAGAGUCUGGUAGUUACUUAAUUGGGCCAUUCUUUCUGAAUACAAACUACUGGUAAUUAUUUUUAAUACUUAUUUUAAUUCUAAUUACUCUUCUGUUUUUGCAGAGUUAAAGACUAUCAGUUAAUUACAAUUGAAAUUUUAUGAUGGUUAACAAAUAUUCUCUUGGUUUUCAAUGUAUUUUUCUAUAUGUUCCCACAUUAUUAUAAAUUUCCCUUUACGAGACCUCAAUUUAGAGUUUGCAAAAUGGAUAAACUCGUUUAUUAGUAGAGAAAGAGUUACAUCACGUAAUACCUAAUACUGUUGUGCAAAAUGAAAAAAAAAGAAUAGCAGUAAAAUUAUAUACUGAAAACACCAAAAAUUUAGAUGCCUUAAUAGUGUAUAUGUGAAAAUACUCAGCUACCCCUUUUUAAAUAGUUCCUUUUGCUGCCUGAUGGUUAAAACUGAUGGAUCACAUCCAAGGCUCCUAUCGAAGAUCCCUCUGCUGAAAACAAUGGCUCACUCACCGAAAGGGGGCGCCACCGAGGCCUGGUCCUCCACAGAAAGCCUGGGUCACAGGCCUGUGGCCCUCUCUGGCACUUGGCAUUUAACUCAUGUCUUUUACCUAAAUUGUCCUAGACUUUUGUGUUCUUCUUUAUUAAAACCUUAGCAUGUCUCCUUGAUCUGAAUUAUUUGUUUUCUCUUCAAGAUAAGUUUAUCUAAUCAUGAAAAAUACAGAAUCCAACGUCAUCAGUCACAUUAAAUGAGGCUUUCUCAUAACAAACGUUUAUCCUUAGUUCUCUGUUCCAUCUUGACCGAUGUUACACUGAUUUAUGUUACCUGAUUGUGGCAAACAAUGUUUAAUGUGAAAAGAAAUUAAAACUUUCUUCUCAUCUGUUGUAGAAUAUUUCCCUUCUUUUAAAUGACUUUUAGUCAUAAUUUUGGUGUUUUAUUUGAAUCGUGGCUUCCAAAGAUAUGACAUCUUCAGAGAUCCUAUCACUGUUUCUUGGUUUAGCUUUUUUGUUUUUGUUUUCCUCUUUCCCUACCAGCUUUGAACUCUGAUAGGUCUGCAUAUGGGGAUGUCUCUGAAGUUCUCACCACCUCUGAUAUCACUGGUACAGUUGUGUUCCUAGAAUAUGGUGCAGCCCUGGCCAAGAAGUCCCUUCCCACAGUUAUCGAGCGUGACCCCCUUUCUCAGCACCAGGCAAGCCACUAGGGAUUCUGAGUCAAAUGACACAAUUCUAGCUCUCAGGAAGCCCACGGGUCUAGUGGGGGAAGAUGACAAGGGGAACUUAGAAGCCAGUUGUAGUUCCCUGGUGGCUCAGCAGGUUAAGGAUGCAGUGUUCUCGUUGCUGUGGCUUCACUCAUCACUGCUCUGGUAAGAGUUUGAUCCCUGGCCUUGGGUGUGGCCAAAAGAAAUAAAAAUAAGAUGAUGUGAAUCCAUGACAUUAAAAAAAAAAAAGCUGAUAAGCCAGAAAUGGUGAUGGAAUCUGACCAAUAUGAUGUGUCUGCCCAAGAUAUGAGAACGCAAUGGGCAGAUACCCAGCCCCAAGCAGGGAAACACAAAUGACUUUGGGAGAGGAUAAUGUCCACGUGGAAUCCACAGACAAUGCGUAGGAUUUGCACAUCAGCAUUCAAAGCAGCAGCAUUUGCAGUACCCAAGUGGUGGAAACUACCCAAACAGGUGAAUGGAAAAGCAAACUUGUAUCGUCCCACAGUGGGCUAUUAUUCACCCUCAAAGAGGAAGGAAAUUCUGCCACCUGCUACAACAUGGAUGAGCCUUGAAAGCACUGUUCUGAGUGAAAUAGGAGGACGCAAAAGGAAAAAUACUGUCUGAUUCCACUUGCAUAGGCAAAUCCAUAGAGAUAGAAAGCAGAACAGAGUUGACAUGGGGCUGCAGGAAGCCGGGAAUGGGGAGCUCAUGUUUAACUUGGACAGAGUUUCGGUUUAGGAUGAUGAGAUGGAUAGCGGUGAUGGUUGCACGACACUAGGAAUGUUCUUGAUGCCCCAACUUACACAUUUAAAAAUCGCUAAAGUGGUCAUUUCUAUGUUGUAUAUGUACUACAUAUAUAACAAAAGUAAAAGAAAAAAAUUUUUUUUUCCAAAACUGAGUAGACCUUACCCAGGAAAAGGAGCAUGUGGCAGAGGGUCAGAGAGGAAGGGCAGGACGCUGAUGGGAGCAGAGCAAACAGAAAUGCAAAGGUCUGGAAAUGAGAGAGGGCUGCGUGGUCAGGAAAUCGCAAGGAGCUCUGAGUGGCUGCAGCUCAGAGUACAGGACUUGGAAGGAGAGGGAAUAUGAAAGCUGAGGCUGGAAAAGUACCAGGUUUGAGGAAACUGGGAAGCCCCGCCAACAUUCUGAAUCUAGACUUUUCCCCGAAGACAGGUGCAUCCACAUUCACAUCCCCCAGAAGGAACUCGGCGUCCUCCCUCCAGCCUUUCCUCUGUAAUAAAUUAACAAUCCCUUCGUCGUUGUUGUGUUUUAAAAAUGCUUGUUAUAAAGACAGUCCUGAAGGUGAAGAGAUGUCUUCUAUUCUCCCAAGCCCAUCACGCAUAAACAAGAGCAUGAUCUGAGUAUUUUCCGUUGAUAUCAAUUGCAGAGACGGUUCAUAAGUGGAAUUGCUUUUAUAAACUUGGGAUGAUAGCAUAGAAACUUUUUAAUUUUAGUCGAAUUCAGCAAAAGAAAUUGAAAUGAGACUCAGAAUUGCUGUCGUUUGGACAUUUCUCCACCAGGAUAGUGUGGUUUCCUAAAAAUCCUCUAGGAUUAAAGAAAGUGAUUAUGAGGGAAAAAAGUUUCUUUUUAGAAUUUUCUGUAUCAAUUUGAGACAAUACUGAUCAGUUCCCAUCUCUGAAAGAUGAAAAAGGUAAUACUUCCAUUUGAGCCCCUCUGAAUUUUUGGGGUUAUAUUUUUGAGUAUCUUCGAGAUUGCCAACAUGUACAUUGUUCUAUAAUUGUCCUGUGAUUAUUCAGCUUCAACUCCAUAUUUAAGUGGAUUUUGUAUCCACCUGUCAGUCUUUCAUCAAAGCUUCCUAUUCCUGAUGGUGUUUGUUUUUAAAUUAAGUCAUCUAUCAGUGGGAAAGUUUUCCCUGUAAAAUAUCCUUUUAGCGAGACCCAUGGUACUGCCUGAAGAUGUCUGUCUGCUGCCUUUACGUUUGACUGACACCUCUCUGGGCUGUAAUUGUCUUAGGUUGCACUUCUUUCAGAACGUGGUAGACGUGACCCUUGAUGUUUUUGUUGCCGUUUUGUUUUGGUCACACCCAUGACAUGUGGAAGUUCCCAGGCCAGGGACUGAAUCCAGGCCACAACAGAGACAAUGCCAGGUCCUUGACCAUCUGAACCCCCGGGGAACUCCUGCUCUGAUAUCUUAAGGCUCUGAUUGCUGUGAAGAAUUCUGAGGUCAGUCUCAUUUGUGUCUUUGGUAGUUGAUUUGUGUUUUCCUGGGUGCCUGGAGCAUUCUUUAGGCCUCAAGUUCGACAGCUUCUCCAGGAUCUGCCUUGGCACAGAGCCCUGCAUGUCAAAAUCUACAAGAACGUGGCAUGUGCGCUGCGCCUGCAGAGUCAGUUCCGUUCGGGGUGUUUCUCGUGUACGUCUCCGAGUCCACCUUCUGGUCCUCUUCUCCACCCUCUGCUUCAGGGUCACGGUGCCAGGUCGCGUUCUCUCCAUCCAUGCCCUGCACGUGGCAUCUUCUCUCUUGGCUUUCAUGCUCCGGUCUUUCCCUGGUGCGGGUGCUUUACUGCUGGCGAAGCUUCCCCCGCCCUCUCUGCUGCUGUGUCACUAAGCGCGUGCACCUGGGGUCCCCCCACCUGGCUGGGGUGUUGUACAUUCCACCUGGGGCUACCGUCAGGGUCUCUUCAUGACUGUGAUUCUGUGUGGCCCUGGACCCUCGCUUCCACCUGAGAAUGGGCUCUGUUCACCUCCCAUUCCGCCCCCCCUCAGCCUCCUCCCCCGACUCUGCCAAGUGCUCUUUCUAGUUACUUCUCACGGAAGCUGGUCUCAAAGAGGGAAGAAGAACAAACUCUAUUGUCUCAUUGUUUUAAGUAGCUACUUUGUUGUUGUUCUUUUUAGGGCUGCACCCAUGGCAUGUGGAGCUUCCCUGGCUAGGGGUCCAGUGGGAGCUGUAGCUGCCGGCCUACACCACAGCCACAGCCACGCAGAAUCCCUAAGCCACUGAGUGAGGCCAGGGGUCGAACCCUCAACCUCAUGGUUCCUAUUCAGAUUUGUUUCUGCUGCGCCAUGACGGGAACUCAAAGGCCAGCUUUUCUGGACUUCCUUCCUUAGCCACCAAUGAGGAGAGAGUCUUAGAAACCUUGCAGGGUAGGAAAUUAAGGAGAACUUAGAGGAAUGAAAUUGUUCUCACAAAGUUUUGCUUUCUCAAAUUUUGUUUGUUGAACAAACUGCAUUAUGGGAAAUGGCCAGCAGAGGAAUAUUGAUUUUUCAAAGCAGCGCGGUGCUUUAGGAAGGGAUGACAUGGCUUUUACUGAAAUCGCAGAAUGGCUUUAUUUUUGUCCAUGCCCCCUGGAAUGGCCUGGGGGGAAGGAAUGUGUAAGAAAAGUAAGAAAAGAAAUAGAAGGAACGUCGUUGGGGUAGGAUGCCAGAGUAUGCGGGUUCCAGCUCUUCCAUACCUGAGGAAGGGGAGAGAUUGAAUAUCGGAAACAAAAGAAAAAUAAGUGAAAUGAGACAAGAUGCAGCUGAUUUACUGAUUUUCAUAUCACCAGCACGUUCACCUCUCCUUUGCAGGUCAGGCACCUUUUCUCUCUCGGCAGCAAAGCUUCAGUGCUCCAGGCCGGCAUCAGGCCAUCAGAGUGACUCAAACCACAGUGAUGCCACUUCCUAGAGUCCAGGGUCUAACCCCAUCCCUCUCUCCCCUCCUCUUCCCGUGUCCUGGCACCAAAGCUUUAGAACGAUGGGGAAGGAGAAUACUGCUUCCUCUCCCUAUCGUCCCAACUUUCCCCAGAUCCCCACCCCCCUCUGCUUCCAGGCAGUCACGAGCCAGGGGCGUCUGGGUGGACCCAGAAGAAUGCCUGUCUUUUUCUCCAAAAGCCCGUGUGGGAAAUAACAGCUAUUCUAUAGAGCACGGCUCUGCCCGGAGAGGAUGAGGACUGCGCUUUCCUGGAUGACAAAGACAAAGACAGGGGUCAAGGUUUGGCCGUUGACUUCCAGCCCGGAGAUAAGAGCUGUGAGAGCCAAAGCUCUAGGGAUAUGCAAGAGCCAAGCAUCCAGUGAACCGGGCAGCAAAGGCCCAAAGAGAUCCGGGGCAUCAAGUUUAUCCCAAGUCUGCGGGUGGCUUGGGGCACAUCUGCUUCAGCUCGUAGGUGAUCCAUAGGUCUCUCCUUCUAGAACCUGCAGUUAUCUGGGUUCCAUGGCAGAUGGUGGAAGGACAAGAGACCAAUCAAAAACAUACAGGUGCCCUUCAAGCCCCCGGCCAGCCAAGGCCGAACAAGCGUCUGUUCAUUUACCAUCAGCCCAAGGAUGACAAGUGGCCAAACCCAAAGGCAGGGGGCAGGGGAUUGGACUCUGCCCCGGGGAAGCAAGGAUGAACUGCAAACAGACGAUGCUCUCUGUUUUAAGAGCCAGGCAUGGCCCCUAGUUGCCGGCUGCACUGGUGGCUGUGCCCUUUACCAGGGGAAGGAAGUAAGGGCAGUGGCACAGGUUAGGGAGAGCUCAUGCGUUCAGCCUUGGAUAUUUGAUUCUGAGAUGUCUUGGGUACCAAAGCAGCAGGAGCUACGGAGAAGCCUGGCCUGAAGGUAUGUAUCCGGGAGAUGCAGCAAAGACUAGUCGUGCCCUGCUCUCCAUCCACUAACCCCUUGUGUCGUUUUAGAAGAACAUCUGAUUUUUAGGGGCCGCCAUACGUUUCCAAACCUCCCUUGAGCUAGAGUGGCCACCUGACUGAAUUUUAACCCAUGAAGUGUAAGCCGUGUCAUGUAUGACUUCUGUGAAGUACCCCUAAAGGAAAGGCUGUGUCCUUCCCCCUGACCUCUUCCUUCCUGCUAACAGAAAUGUGGUUGUGAUGGCUGGAGCCCAGGAAGUCAUCUUGGACCAUGAGGUAAAAAGUCCUCUGUUGAGACUGGCAGAGUGACAGGCAGGCCAGUUCCCUGACAAGAAGUGCUCUUUUCUAGUAUUCAGGCUCCGGAUACUUGGAGUUUCCUCUCAUCUACAUUCAAGCCCAGUCCUGGUACAAAAGUCACGAAAGCAGAGAAGUGCUGACAGGCAUUGGGCUUAGCCUCCAGCCUCUGAGACGAGAAUAUAGAACAGAUGUAAGGCGAGCCCAGGACUGGGCGUGAGCAUCGCCAACAUGGAACAGCCAGGGGAAGAGGCUACGUCCACAGAGACAGAGGCAGGCAGAGAGGGAGAAGGAGCAGGGAGACGGGUGUCGUGGACUUGGGCGUGGCAGGAAGGGAGUAUUUCUGGGAGGAGGGAGUCUCUGAAUGUGGGAAUCAGGCUGACCUGCCAGAUGACGGCAGAGGACACAAGCUAAGUUUGGUGCACUAGUGGGGUCUUUGCACCCCCAAAAGUGUCCUCUGGAAGACUUAGGAAGAAAAUAAAACUCUAUUACAGUUAUUAAAACAUAAUGCUCAACAUUUUUUUUUUUUUUUUUUUUUUUGCUUUUUAGGGCCACACCCAAGGCAUAUGGAGGUUCCCAGGCUAGGGGUGGAAUUGGAGCUGCAGCUACUGGCCUAUGUCACAGCUCACAGCAAUGCCAGAUCCUUAACCCACUGAGCGAGACCAAGGAUCGAACCCACAUCCUCAUGGCUACUAGUCGGAUUCGUUACUGAUGAGCCACAACAGGAACUCCUGAAUAUUCUAAACCACUCUCCACCCCGAACACAUGUCAGUGUGCUUUCAGAAGAGAAUGACUCUGUUGCACCUUCUAGGAGAAGCUGCCGGAGCUGACUGAGGCGCAGAUGAGCUCAGCAUCACUUUUUGUCUUGAACUUCACUUUUCCCCUGACCUUCUAACAACUGGCACUUGCUGGCCUCUCCCUCAGCCUGACUCCACGUAGCUUCUCAUUAUUUUCUUUCUUUUUUUAGGGCCACACCUGCAGCAUAUGGAAGGAGGUGAGGACGCAGGUUUGAUCCCUGGCCUCGCUCAGAGGGUUAAGGAUCUGGCAUUGCCAUGAGCUGUGGUGUAGGUCACAGAUGUGGCUUGGAUCCUGCAUUGCUAUGGCUGUGGCUGUGGCUGGCAUCUGCAGCUCUGCUUCGAUGCCUAGCCCUGAAACUUCCAUAUGCCACAUGAGUAGCCCUAAAAAGCAAAAAAAAAAAAAAAAAAAAAA
rnacentral:lncRNA from 1 species